rnacentral:rRNA from 1 species
AACGAACGCUGGCGGCAGGCUUAACACAUGCAAGUCGAGCGCCCCGCAAGGGGAGCGGCCGACGGGUGAGUAACGCGUGGGAAUCUACCCAUCUCUACGGGAUAACGCAUGGAAGCGUGUGCUAAUACCGGAUACGUCCUUCGGGAGAAAGAUUUAUCGGAGAUGGAUGAGCCCGCGUUGGAUUAGCUAGUUGGUGGGGUAAAGGCCUACCAAGGCGACGAUCCAUAGCUGGUCUGAGAGGAUGAUCAGCCACACUGGGACUGAGACACGGCCCAGACUCCUACGGGAGGCAGCAGUGGGGAAUAUUGGACAAUGGGCGCAAGCCUGAUCCAGCCAUGCCGCGUGAGUGAUGAAGGCCCUAGGGUUGUAAGGCUCUUUCACCGGUGAAGAUAAUGACGGUAACCGGAGAAGAAGCCCCGGCUAACUUCGUGCCAGCAGCCGCCGCAGUAA